rnacentral:rRNA from 1 species
AACCAGCCAUGCCGCGUGCAGGAAGACGGCUCUAUGAGUUGUAAACUGCUUUUGUACGAGGGUAAACCCGGAUACGUGUAUCCGGCUUGAAAGUACCGUACGAAUAAGGAUCGGCUAACUCCGUGCCAGCAGCCGCGGUAAUACGGAGGAUCCAAGCGUUAUCCGGAUUUAUUGGGUUUAAAGGGUGCGUAGGCGGCCCGGUAAGUUAGAGGUGAAAGCCCGUGGCUCAACCACGGAAAUGCCUCUGAUACUGCCAGGCUAGAGAAUAGUUGCUGUGGGCGGAAUGUGUAGUGUAGCGGUGAAAUGCUUAGAGAUUACACAGAACACCGAUUGCGAAGGCAGCUCACAAAGCUAUUUCUGACGCUCAGGCACGAAAGCGUGGGGAGCAAACAGGAUUAGAUACCCUGGUAGUCCACGCAGUAAACGAUGAUAACUCGUUGUCGGCGAUACACUGUCGGUGACUUAGCGAAAGCGUUAAGUUAUCCACCUGGGGAGUACGUUCGCAAGAAUGAAACUCAAAGGAAUUGACGGGGGCCCGCACAAGCGGAGGAACAUGUGGUUUAAUUCGAUGAUACGCGAGGAACCUUACCCGGGCUUGAAAGUUAGUGACGAUUGCCGAAAGGCGAUUUCCCUUCGGGGCACAAAACUAGGUGCUGCAUGGUUGUCGUCAGCUCGUGCCGUGAGGUGUCGGGUUAAGUCCCAUAACGAGCGCAACCCCUACUGUUAGUUGCCAUCGGGUAAUGCCGGGAACUCUAGCAGGACUGCCGGUGUAAGCCGAGAGGAAGGUGGGGAUGACGUCAAAUCAGCACGGCCCUUACGUCCGGGGCGACACACGUGUUACAAUGGUCGGUACAGAGGGCAGCUACCCCGCGAGGGGAUGCGAAUCUCGAAAGCCGAUCUCAGUUCGGAUCGGAGGCUGAAACUCGCCUCCGUGAAGUUGGAUUCGCUAGUAAUCGCGCAUCA